rnacentral:ribozyme from 13 species
CCGUCCGCAGACUUAAAAAAAAAAAAAAAAAAAAAAAAAAAAAAAAAAAAAAAAAAAG